GACAGAGGGUGCAAACGUUGUUCGGAAUUACUGGGCGUAAAGCGCGUGUAGGCUGCUUCGCAAGUCGGAUGUGAAAGCCCUGGGCUCAACCUAGGAAGUGCAUUCGAAACUGCGAAGCUCGAGUCCUGGAGAGGAAGGCGGAAUUCUCGGUGUAGAGGUGAAAUUCGUAGAUAUCGAGAGGAACACCGGUGGCGAAGGCGGCCUUCUGGACAGUGACUGACGCUGAGACGCGAAAGCGUGGGGAGCAAACAGG
rnacentral:rRNA from 1 species